UUGGUUCUUAAAAGAGUGGAGGCAAGAGCAAGUUGUUUAGCUGGAUACUUUGGCAAGGCUUCUUCGUUGAGAUAGACAGUGCUGAAGAUCUCCUUGUGAACGAACUUAACACAAUAAGGAUUCCUGACAACCUGAGGACUGUUGAAUACAGCUUGUUCCAGCAGUUUGUCACGAAGAAGUUCAUUCAGGUUGGAGCUGCGCUUUACCUUAUUCCGAAGCACCCAGAGCUCAGAUACAGAGAAUGAUUUCAGAGAUUCGACAGAUAGUCUGAAAGAACCAUUCCUCUGUGUAUAGACAAUUAGCUCCCAUUGCUCUAGC
rnacentral:lncRNA from 1 species